AAGGUGGUUUAUUUNGAUGCAAAGCGGAAGAACCUAUCCUAUUUUUGACAUUCUNCAGAAGCCAGCGGAGACGCAGGUGUGCCUUCGGGAACUGUAAGACAGGUGCUGCAUGGCUGUCGUCAGCUCGUGUUGUGAAAUGUUGGGUUAAGUCCCGCAACGAGCGCAACCCUUAUCCUUGUUUGCCAGCACUUCGGGUGGGAACUCCAGGGAGACUGCCGGUGAUAAACCGGAGGAAGGUGGGGACGACGUCAAGUCAUCAUGGCCCUUACGAGUAGGGCUACACACGUGCUACAAUGGCGCAUACAGAGGGCGGCCAACUUGCGAAAGUGAGCGAAUCCCAAAAAGUGCGUCGUAGUCCGGAUUGGAGUCUGCAACUCGACUCCAUGAAGUCGGAAUCGCUAGUAAUCGUGGAUCAGAAUGCCACGGUGAAUACGUUCCCGGGCCUUGUACACACCGCCCGUCACACCAUGGGAGUGGGCUGCAAAAGAAGUGGGUAGUUUAACCUUCGGGAGGACGCUCACCACUUUGUGGUUCAUGACUGGGGUGAAGUCGUAACAAGGUAACCG
rnacentral:rRNA from 1 species